GGGGCCGUAGCCCAGCCGCGAGAGCGCCAGCUUUGCAAGCUGGGAGUCAGGGCUUCGAAUCCCCUCGGCUCCA
rnacentral:tRNA from 2 species